rnacentral:rRNA from 1 species
UACGUAGGGGGCAAGCGUUGUCCGGAAUCAUUGGGCGUAAAGCGCGUGUAGGCGGCCCGGUAAGUCCGCUGUGAAAGUCGGGGCUCAACCCUCGGAUGCCGGUGGAUACUGUCGGGCUAGAGUGCGGGAGAGGCGAGUGGAAUUCCUGGUGUAGCGGUGAAAUGCGCAGAUAUCAGGAGGAACACCUAUUGCGAAGGCAGCUCGCUGGGACGUAACUGACGCUGAGACGCGAAAGCGUGGGGAGCAAACAGG